rnacentral:rRNA from 1 species
UACGUAGGGGGCUAGCGUUGUCCGGAAUCAUUGGGCGUAAAGCGUGCGUAGGUGGUGAGUUAAGUCUGUCGUGAAAGCCCCGGGCUCAACCUGGGAAUGGCGAUGGAUACUGGCUCGCUAGAGUGCGGUAGAGGAGAGUGGAAUUCCCGGUGUAGCAGUGAAAUGCGUAGAGAUCGGGAGGAACAUCAGUUGCGAAGGCGGCUCUCUGGACCAGCACUGACACUGAGGCACGAAAGCGUGGGGAGCAAACAGG